GAUGAACGCUGGCGGCGUGCCUAAUACAUGCAAGUCGAGCGAACAGACGAGGAGCUUGCUCCUUUGACGUUAGCGGCGGACGGGUGAGUAACACGUGGGUAACCUACCUAUAAGACUGGGAUAACUUCGGGAAACCGGAGCUAAUACCGGAUAAUAUUUCGAACCGCAUGGUUCGAUAGUGAAAGAUGGCUUUGCUAUCACUUAUAGAUGGACCUGCGCCGUAUUAGCUAGUUGGUAAGGUAACGGCUUACCAAGGCAACGAUACGUAGCCGACCUGAGAGGGUGAUCGGCCACACUGGAACUGAGACACGGUCCAGACUCCGACGGGAGGCAGCAGUAGGGAAUCUUCCGCAAUGGGCGAAAGCCUGACGGAGCAACGCCGCGUGAGUGAUGAAGGUCUUCGGAUCGUAAAACUCUGUUAUUAGGGAAGAACAAACGUGUAAGUAACUGUGCACGUCUUGACGGUACCUAAUCAGAAAGCCACGGCUAACUACGUG
rnacentral:rRNA from 1 species